AAAGGAGCGCUACUGCAUAAAAUGAGGAACAUCUGAACUGAAAGCUAUCAGAAUGGAAAAGCUUGACUAGGGCUUGAAUUAUGUGGAAAGCGUAAUUCUUAGAAAUAGGUCCUCAAACACACAAGAAUCUGCAAAAAUGAGCUAUACUUUCAACCCCCCAAUAUCUAACCCUCGUGAUCAUUUGGUAGAGAAGGGUCUGUUACUGUCAAGUAUUUUUAAAUGACUGCAAAGACAUUAAUUCCCUAGGUGCAGAAUAAUCAUUCAGUAUCAAGAAUAAACAUAUAAUUUAAAAUAUUAGUCUUGCUGGUGCUUGUGAUCUAUGACUAAGCUGUACUUUCAAAGAGAAUUCCAAAUCUCUCCUCUCUGCAACCCAAGAGAAUCUGCACAAAGACUUGUGACCUUAUGAAUUUUCACAGGUUUUCCCCAGUGGAUGUCUUUGGCGUCUGCUAUCUCUACUGCGGAUACACCGUGGUUUUGCAACCAGCCAUAUCAAGAGUUUCCAAGAAAAAUGUAAACAAGGAUUUUGCAGUGACUCCAGCUAGAACACAUGAAUAUGACUGAGAACAGAAUAUCUCUACUUACUUUAGUCAAUUUUGUAGUAACUAAAUAAGUAAGAUGAAAAAAAGUAACUUCAAAAAAAAACGAUCUCUACUGAGCUAUCUGGAGACAAAACAUCGUGCUACAUUCCAAAUCACCAAGGGCCUUCCGGCACACACAUCAGAAAGUGAAAUAUAUCUGCCUCGAAGGAACUGGGCAGAGAUGCUUCUACCUUUAGGAAAACAACCCCAUUUUCAUAAUAAGCCUAUAAAUCAUAUAGUUAUUACCUGGUGCCUAUUUGUAAUGGGAAACAUCGUGAGAUAGUAUCGACGUAUUUUUUUUCUGGGAUCUGUGGCUCUAAAGCCCUUUCCCCAGCUCAGGCCACUUCCACUGCCUCAAGAAAGGAAUAACUCAAAGGACAAGAUCAUCAACUCCACUCAUUUAUUCACUUUUUUUUUUUAACGAACAUUUAUUGACCCCAUGUAUGUGCAAGAAACUGUUCUAAGUGCUGAA
rnacentral:lncRNA from 1 species